rnacentral:sRNA from 1 species
CCAAUCGCUUACACGAUAUCAGCCCAUCAAUACCUAAUACCCAAUACCUACUAGUUCUAUGGACAGAAAUAACUUGCGUAUCUCCGGUAACAGUCGGGGGCCCCAGAUAUAGAUACAGAUACAACACAAGAAUCAACUAAAGCGCCGCUGGCGGUAGUCAAAAAACAAAUUUCCUCUCUUAUCUCAAAUGGCCCGCAACGGUGUCCGGCCUCCCGGCCUCCCGGCUUUCCCAUUAAAGCGAUUGCAAUUAGCGCCCCAUCGACUAUUUGCUGGGAUUACAAUACCAGCACAAGUACCCUUUGACCACAAUGGGUAUAUUAACUAUUAAUAAGAGCUAUGUUACAGUCAAGAAUGGUUCUCAAUUAAAUAAAUAAUAAUAAAUAGUAAGCAGUAGUAAUA